ensembl:snRNA U6 U6 spliceosomal RNA
GUGCUCAUUUCGGGAGCACAUAUACUAAAAAUUAGAAUGAUACAGAGAAGAUUAGUAUGUCUCCUGCUCAAGGAUGUCACACAAAUUCAUAAAGUGUUCCAUACUUUU